CAAUAGCGUAUAUUAAAGUUGUUGCGGUUAAAAAGCUCGUAGUUGGAUUUCUGCUGAGAACGACCGGUCCGCCCUCUGGGUGUGUAUCUGGCUCUUUCUUGGCAUCUUCUUGGUGAACGUUGCUGCACUUGACUGUGUGGAGCGCUACCCAGGACUUUUACUUUGAGGAAAUUAGAGUGUUUCAAGCAGGCAUACGCCUUGAAUACAUUAGCAUGGAAUAAUAAGAUAGGACCUCGGUUCUAUUUUGUUGGUUUCUAGAGCUGAGGUAAUGAUUAAUAGGGAUAGUUGGGGGCAUUCGUAUUUAACUGUCAGAGGUGAAAUUCUUGGAUUUGUUAAAGACGGACUACUGCUAAAGCAUUUGCCAAGGAUGUUUUCAUUGA
rnacentral:rRNA from 1 species